rfam:Brenneria sp. EniD312 chromosome, whole genome shotgun sequence.
AAUUUACGUCGUUGUUGCUGACGUUGUCAGCACAGCCCAGGCAGCCCCGGUCUUCAAGGCUGCGGCGUGGUUUCCACAACGACCGGUCCAGUCCGCUCAGCAUCAAUUCGAGGACGAAGUACCCAUCCGGUACUGAUGC